AAAAAAAAAAAAAAACCCCAGCUCCUGAAACGAACGCCCUUUUCCUUCAAUCCCCACAUUCACGAUGAGAAGAGAAUCGACAAACGGUUGCUCCCACCACCACUAUCACCGGCAACGACGCUUCCACCUCCACCGGUGACCACGCUUUGCUCCUCCACCACCGGUACCCAACCCCAAGUCUUCUGUUCUCAAAUCCCCUCUCCCUAUCUCGGGCUGAUUCUCCUGGUCACUGCAGACGAGGGCAGCGCUACCCACCGCUGGCGACCACCACCACAAUCUGCUUUUGGGCAGUCCGACGUUACCACACCACGAAGGAGAAGUUGCCACCCACAGAUUCAAGGCUCAGACCCGAUCAGAGGUGCUUGGCAUGGCAAAUUCAGAGAAGUUGUGCCUCGAGCAACGGCAGCGGCAGAUGUUCGUUGGUGGAGUUCGAGCGGAGUAAAAAUAUGGCGCGGCCAAUAGAGAAAGCCAUUUGUUAAAUCUAGAGGAUGGGAAAAGAAAUCAUCUGAUUAUGCAACUAAAAAGGAUAGCUUAGCUGCUGCGAAAGUUAGCUAUGGGACCAAUAGCUUUGCAAAGACUAGUGGAAACUCGAAAAGGCAGUGAAAGAGAUUGAAGCUAUUCAAGUGAAUCAAAGGCCAAGGAAAACGAUUAAUUUGUUGUAGUUUGGAAUAUCAAUAUGUACUAAGUUUUGUACGCAAAUGAUGAAGUUAUACGCAAGUGUGCUGGAAACUCAAUGGCAAGGAUGCGGAGGACUACAAAGUUAUACGCAAAUGAUGACUGCACCGGAUAAUUUAGAAGAGUAGUUCACUUGCUUGUAUUGGUUUAUAUCGUGUCCUAUGUCCUGUAUCCCCUUUUGUGUCCCGUGUCCCCCUUUGUGUCCUUGUAAUGACCUUUCAUGAGGUAGAUAGUGUGGAGAUUUUUGUUUCUUGUUGACUUUUUUAAUGAAACGCAUUCUACUUUUGUUCAUAAAAUUGUGCCACUUUAGUUGUUGUUCACAAUG